GUACAUUUAUUGGAGGUGCCGAAGUAGAGAGUUCAGAACCUGCUUUGCAGGGUUUUUCCUUUACGCAGACCUUGAGAGACACACACAUCGUUAGAGAACGUACAGCUGAACCUCACAAUCUGUCCUUCUGAUGAAGAGUUCACAGCAAGGUUAGUAGGUUUUGUUUGAAAAGAAGGAUGAAAUAAUUCUGGCAUUGAAGUGACAAGCAGCUGGAAUCCAAAAGUGAAAGGAAAUGAAACUGAUGCUGAAAAACAUUGACCCCAAACAACGGAAGAGUGGGACUGAAUUGGUCAGUUUGCAACACUGUACGUUGUGGUACUACUUACCUAAACCGUUUAAGGUGUAAUCUGAGAACCUGAGGUAGUCGACACACCAUAAGCUGCUUCUGAGCUUCUAGAUAACUGAUGCAACCAAAGACAAGAAGACAUAGUUAUUUAACAAAAGAAAUUAUACACCUAAUUUCUGUUCUCUGAAGCAACAUAUCCAAUACUCUUAUCCCAAACAGUAAGUGGAUCCAUCGUCACACUAGGGAAAGGACAAGCAGUAAGACAACAUAAAUAAAAUGUCAAGAAGUGAAGUGAGUCAACCUGGAAAAUGCAGAUAAUACAGCAGAGGACAAUUAAUUUAUGCUAACAUUCAAUAUUUAGGAAAGUAAGUUAAAAGCAGCAGCUCUUCCACGCUGUAAUGGCAACACAUUAGGUAUCAAUUUGUAAUGCAGCCUUGUAAAAGCCAGCUCAAGCUGUUUAUAAAGAGUGUCACAUCGUUUGAGUUCUUCCUCCAAAGGACCUCCACCCUUCCAUGAUCCAUGUGGAUGAAUAACUUUUAUUAGCAGUUCAACCUAUGCAGUAGUCAAACUCCAUUUAGACUGUAAGAAGCAUAGUUCAUAAAGGCUAUAAGGAAAUAACCAGUAAAUACCAAGUGCGUGUGUGAGGCUAAAGACAUGUUCACCUAAGUAUGUUCAAUGCAAUGAAGUACAGUACAAUCCUGGAGUAAUUACCUGAGUUUUCUACUGUUAAUGUAUUUAUUGGCUUAUAAGUUGCAGUUGACCACUAAUUCAAGCAGCUCUAACCUCACUGUUCUAGCAAAGAUGCAUUCUGAAAUUAAGUUAAAUUUUAACUGGGCUCAGAUAGAUAGCUUUGACAGAACUUUCAUAAGCAUCCAACAUGUUCCCACCCCCUUCCCCAACAAUUAAACUUUCCCACCAAAAAGAUUAACAGAACUCAAAAUUUUUAUACAGGACCAACUGUCAGGAUACCGUUAUUUGUCAGCUCAGAAUAACAGCCCAGUGUGAUGAGACACCACCAUUCAGGUUUUACAGUAAAUGGAGUAUCAUGUAUGUCCCUAAAUUUGCACCACGAGGGUAAAUAAUUGCCAAAUUAAAUCUCUAUAAGCAUGCUUCCUAUUUAGGAAAAUACCACAAGUUGUUUGGAACAACUAAUACAAAGAUGUAGUAAUAAAGGAAUGAAAAUCCACGAGGGAUCCAAAUAUUGUUAUUUCACAGGCACGCCUUUGUGUUGCUGUUCUACAUAGAUUCAGUGUAGUUCAGUUAGGUUAGUAAGCCUACACAAGUGUAAAAAUACAUUGUUCUGUUCAAGAGCUCCUUUAUUUUCCGCUGAAGCUGUUAUGUAAUUAUUAACCCUGCUUUGCCUGUUAUUUCAUGAUCAUUUAUAUAAGGACAGAUCUGCCACCUAACAGUACCUUCCUCCUAGGUGUUCCUGUGAGUAAUUAUUUAAUGCAUUCAUUAGCUACGACAGCUUAUACACAAUCUAUGCAUUAGCUGUAUCUAAUGUGCGUAUGUAUUUGUGCACCAGGAUACACGUUUAGCAGUGGAGUUAGGAAAGCUAUUAGCUGCCUUAAGUUGUAAGAAGGAAACGCCACUGCCUUGUUCUUAGAAAAUAAAACUUCGAACUUACAUGGCAGAAAGAGGAGAAUCUUCUGUUUUAAUUUACACUGACAGAAGCUUCUUUUGUAAGUGCUAACAUCUGGCAACGUUUCAAAGCCACAAACUAUUAGUAAUUCAGAGCUGGAAUCUAGACUUGGAGACAAAAUGAUAUGUUUGGCCACAGUUCAAGCUAACUCCAGCAUAAACACAGAAUGACUAAUAGAUUUCUGCUGUACAAAUGGGGGGUU